GAGGCGAACCGGGGGAACUGAAACAUCUCAGUACCCCGAGGAAAAGAAAUCAACCGAGAUUCCCCCAGUAGCGGCGAGCGGACGGGGAGCAGCCCAGAGUCAGCAUCAAUAUUUACCGCAGGAGAAGGGUCUGGAAAGGCCGGCAAUAAAGGGUGAUAGCCCCGUAUCUGAAGCGGUAAGUGUUGUGAACUCGAAGAGUAGGGCGGGACACGUGUUAUCCUGUCUGAAUAUGGGGGGACCAUCCUCCAAGGCUAAAUACUCCUGACUGACCGAUAGUGAACCAGUACCGUGAGGGAAAGGCGAAAAGAACCCCGGCGAGGGGAGUGAAAUAGAACCUGAAACCGUGUACGUACAAGCAGUGGGAGCACCCGAAAGGGUGUGACUGCGUACCUUUUGUAUAAUGGGUCAGCGACUUAUAUUCUGUAGCAAGGUUAACCGCAUAGGGGAGCCGUAGGGAAACCGAGUCUUAACUGGGCGUUAAGUUGUAGGGUAUAGACCCGAAACCCGGUGAUCUAGCCAUGGGCAGGUUGAA
rnacentral:rRNA from 1 species